UACGUAGGGUGCGAGCGUUGUCCGGAAUUAUUGGGCGUAAAGAGCGUGUAGGCGGCCAGGUAGGUCUGGUGUGAAAACUCGAGGCUUAACCUCGAGAUGUCAUCGGAAACCAUCUGGCUAGAGUCCGGAAGAGGAGAGUGGAAUUCCUGGUGUAGCGGUGAAAUGCGCAGAUAUCAGGAAGAACACCAAUGGCGAAAGCAGCUCUCUGGGACGGUACUGACGCUGAGACGCGAAAGCGUGGGGAGCGAACAGG
rnacentral:rRNA from 1 species